UAGAGUUUGAUCAUGGCUCAGAUUGAACGCUGGCGGCAGGCCUAACACAUGCAAGUCGAGCGGAAACGAGUUAUCUGAACCUUCGGGGAACGAUAACGGCGUCGAGCGGCGGACGGGUGAGUAAUGCCUAGGAAAUUGCCCUGAUGUGGGGGAUAACCAUUGGAAACGAUGGCUAAUACCGCAUGAUGCCUACGGGCCAAAGAGGGGGACCUUCGGGCCUCUCGCGUCAGGAUAUGCCUAGGUGGGAUUAGCUAGUUGGUGAGGUAAGGGCUCACCAAGGCGACGAUCCCUAGCUGGUCUGAGAGGAUGAUCAGCCACACUGGAACUGAGACACGGUCCAGACUCCUACGGGAGGCAGCAGUGGGGAAUAUUGCACAAUGGGCGCAAGCUCUGAUGCAGCCAUGCCGCGUGUGUGAAGAAGGCCUU
rnacentral:rRNA from 1 species